rnacentral:tRNA from 1 species
AUUUAAAUAGUUUAAUAAAAAAUAUUGAUUUGUGGUAUCAAAGAUAUGAGAAAUUCAUUUUAGAUC